GUCGUAGCCUAGUGGUUAGAGCAUCUGCUUUGCAUGCAGAAGGUCCCAGGUUCAAUCCCCAGCAUCUACU